UCCCUGAUCGUCUGCCGCAUCACCGUCGACAGUCCUCUGCUACAUCGCCAUCUAAAGAUCAGUAAAAUAAGGCUACAAACAGUUGGUCAACAAACCAAAGAAAUAAAGUUGGAGCAGAUGGACCAUUAAGAUCGUUAGACAUUAAGACCAAAUUCUUGGAGGAGGACUACAAGCAGCUCAGUUUCAUUUUGAGGUUUGUUAGCUCGCUCGUUUCGAACAAGUCAGAGUUCCACAUCCCACUAUCUAAUUGCUGAUUGGUACUUUUGAACUUGUGUAUAUUUGUAAAUAUGGCAUGUACAAGCUAGUUACAAAGAUGAUAGCUAAGGUUACUUGAGAUAUAAUUUUUGUACAUUUUUUAGUAUAAGUUAAAGCCAUGUGAUUUGGCUUAACCUGGUAUAAUAUUUUGGUUGCAUAUAAGUACUCAAAUAUGGUAUGUUUUGGCAAGUAGUAUAUGAAAUGGAAUUAUGCAAA